rnacentral:rRNA from 1 species
UACGUAGGGUGCAAGCGUUGUCCGGAAUUAUUGGGCGUAAAGAGCUCGUAGGCGGUUUGUCACGUCGGCUGUGAAACCCUGGGGCUCAACCCCGGGCCUGCAGCCGAUACGGGCUGACUAGAAUUCGGUAGGGGAGUCUGGAAUUCCUGGUGUAGCGGUGAAAUGCGCAGAUAUCAGGAGGAACACCGGUGGCGAAGGCGGGUCUCUGGGCCAUUACUGACGCUGAGGAGCGAAAGCGUGGGGAGCGAACAGG